GCCAAGGAGAGAAAAGAGACGGCGGCGAUAACGGAGGCUUAAAGUCAGGGUUCCGAAAUGAAACCCUAACUCUGGAUCGAGCUUGGUGCCUACAACACAAGAAGGACGUGAACACAGUAUGCGGCCUACAGAUUGUUCUCAAAUUGCUCAUUUUUCCUGCUAGAUUGCUUUAUUUUUUUUUUUUGAAAGAAAAAUCAAUUGAAGCUUCAACAGCUCAACAGCCGGGGAGAAAGAGGUGCAAGAUUAGGGUUUUCUGAUCUAAUUUUUCCAGAGAUUUGAUUUUAUUGAUUGAUUGAGCGAAUGUUGAAGACGUGAAGGAAGUGAUUAUUGUCAGCGACGGUACUCGAUAACGAACCACUGGAAUGGAAUCUGGCUGAAUCUUUUUUGUUUUUUCCUUUUAAUAUAUUAAUUUUCAUUUUUUUCCCACCGGAAUUUUUGUGGACGGUUGGAUUGGACUUCUGACAGUUGGAACUUCGAACGGUAAAUUAAUCCAUUUUCGUUUUGAGCAAUUUUGUAGUCUAAUGGUGAUGGAAUGAUAACCCUUACCG
rnacentral:misc_RNA from 1 species